AGAGUUUGAUCAUGGCUCAGGAUGAACGCUAGCUACAGGCUUAACACAUGCAAGUCGAGGGGAAACGACAUCGAAAGCUUGCUUUUGAUGGGCGUCGACCGGCGCACGGGUGAGUAACGCGUAUCCAACCUGCCCAUCACUUGGGGAUAACCUUGCGAAAGUAAGACUAAUACCCAAUGAUAUCUCUAGAAGACAUCUGAAAGAGAUUAAAGAUUUAUCGGUGAUGGAUGGGGAUGCGUCUGAUUAGCUUGUUGGCGGGGUAACGGCCACCAAGGCUACGAUCAGUAGGGGUUCUGAGAGGAACGUCCCCANAUUGGAACUGAGACACGGUCCAAACGUCCUACGGGAGCA
rnacentral:rRNA from 1 species